CCUGCCAGUAGUCAUAUGCUUGUCUCAAAGAUUAAGCCAUGCAUGUCUAAGUAUAAGCAAUCUAUACUGUGCAACUGCGAAUGGCUCAUUAAAUCAGUUAUCGUUUAUUUGAUAUGUACCUUACUACAUGGAUAACCGUGGUAAUUCUAGAGCUAAUACAUGCGAAAAGCCCCGACUUCGGGAGGGGCGUAUUUAUUAGAUAAAAAACCAAUGCCCUUCGGGGCUCCUUGGUGAUUCAGAAUAACUAAACGAAUCGCAUGGCCUUGCGCCGGCGAUGGUUCAUUCAAAUUUCUGCCCUAUCAACUUUCGAUGGUAGGAUAGUGGCCUACCAUGGUAUCAACGGGUAACGGGGAAUUAGGGUUCUAUUCCGGAGAGGGAGCCUGAGAAACGGCUACCACAUCCAAGGAAGGCAGCAGGCGCGCAAAUUACCCAAUCCCGACACGGGGAGGUAGUGACAAUAAAUACUGAUACAGGGCUCUUUUGGGUCUUGUAAUUGGAAUGAGUACAAUUUAAAUCCCUUAACGAGGAACAAUUAGAGGGCAAGUCUGGUGCCAGCAGCCGCGGUAAUUCCAGCUCUAAUAGCGUAUAUUAAAUUUGUUGCAGUUAAAAAGCUCGUAGUUGAAACUUGGGCCUGGCUGGCCGGUCCGCCUCACCGCGUGCACUGGUCCGGCCGGGCCUUUCCUCCUGGCGAACCGCAUGCCCUUCACUGGGUGUGCCGGGGAACCAGGACUUUUACUUUGAAAAAAUUAGAGUGUUCAAAGCAGGCCUUUGCUCGAAUACAUUAGCAUGGAAUAAUAGAAUAGGACGUGCGAUCCUAUUUUGUUGGUUUCUAGGACCGCCGUAAUGAUUAAUAGGGACAGUCGGGGGCAUCAGUAUUCAAUCGUCAGAGGUGAAAUUCUUGGAUCGAUUGAAGACUAACUACUGCGAAAGCAUUUGCCAAGGAUGUUUUCAUUAAUCAGUGAACGAAAGUUAGGGGAUCGAAGACGAUCAGAUACCGUCGUAGUCUUAACCGUAAACUAUGCCGACUAGGGAUCGGGCGAUGUUACUAUUUUGACUCGCUCGGCACCUUAAGAGAAAUCAAAGUUUUUGGGUUCUGGGGGGAGUAUGGUCGCAAGGCUGAAACUUAAAGAAAUUGACGGAAGGGCACCACCAGGCGUAAACGCAGUUAACUCUGCGCCUGACAGCGGCCCGAAAGGGUGGGUGGUGUCCGGGGCUUGAGGGCCCGAACCAAACGCUAGUCCGCUUCGGCGGGCGACAUGCUCAAACUGCGGGGACCUCCUAAAGCCUCUUGCUACCGCGCUCCUGCCGAAAGGUAGGCUGCUGCACCAGGGUAACGACCUCGGGUAUGGUAAUAACGCAAGGGAUGUAACAAUGGACAAUCCGCAUCCAAGCCCCUAACGCAUGUUAAUGCCAAGGGGAAGGUUCAGAGACUAAAUGGGCAUGGGUCUAUCAAUUGGUCAGAGGGGUCUGGCCCUGUUCUGUGGGGGUUGUGUGUAAAUAGUUGUAAAGUCGUAGCAGAAGAAAAUGAGUGUUUAUACCCUCUAGCCCUCCGGCGUUUUUAUGACAAACGGGGGUUCACCAUCUUUCUUUCGGCAGCGGCGAUACAGUAACACACAGCUCAUAACGGCAAUUCCACCCUACGGCAGCUACCACCUCGGUUGAGCUCUGGAGCACCCGCCGUAGCAAUGUUAGGCAAUACACAGACGGGCAACCAGCCUACCUCGGAAACAUCUACACUGAAGCUCCAGCCCCCCCAAUCGGGGGUGCAGGAGCUGCUAGCGCCUCUCAGAGACCUUAUGUCGACGAUAAAUCCCCGCGAGCGCCUCGCUGUUCAUCAGUUCUGGCGCGUAACGAGGGCCGUCCUCCAAAGGCUCGAGUCCGUGCAGCCUAACCCCCCGGCGCCCGAUCCCGCAAGUAGUAGGCCUAGAAGCCACCACGGUUCGCGUCCAGGAACAUCCUCCAGCAUCACCGACAUUCGGAGAGGCAUCGACGAGGCCCUGGCGCAGACUGGUGCGGUGCUAGAGCCCUCUGCGAGUAGGACGGUACAAGCUGUGUGGGAUUUACCGGCUGCUUGGGUACGAGGGCAGUUAGAGGCUAGGGUGAGCCAAAUCGGCUCUCUUGGCUGCUGGCUGUCAGCGAACGCCCCGGCUCACGAGAAUGGCUAUACCAAAAUCAACUGGCGAAACACCCUCUAUCCUCCCGGGCACACGCGGCACGGAGAGGUAAUUGGGGUGGUGGUGUUCUUACACCAACUCGCGGUCGUCGCCGGUGGACGGGGCUAUCAGCUCCUUAAUACGUCUACCAACGGGGCCUGCGAGGUGAGCCAUCUCUGUCACCAGGGUCGCUGCUUCAAUCCCGAUCACCUUAUCGUCGAGUUAAAGGAGGUCAACAAGGAUAGGAUGCGGUGUGUUGGAGGUCUUAUUGUACGGUGUAGAUGCUGUAAUACAACAUACCACCCGUGUCCACAUCGGGGGGUCGGUCAGAGGCGCGAAUGUAUCUUACCUUCAAAGUUAAUAGAGGGAGGGCAAUAUCAUCAAGCAGGCGGUUAAGCCGCCUAAUAUGAGUGCUCUUCUGUGAUAUAUUCGCGUGUCUGCCUGCUGUAUUACUAACCAUGAUAGGCUUAAGAUAUAGUCCGGUAGUAGAUGAAAUUCUACUAGAUAUUUUAUAAAACGGGAGCCUGCGGCUUAAUUUGACUCAACACGGGGAAACUCACCAGGUCCAGACACAAUAAGGAUUGACAGAUUGAGAGCUCUUUCUUGAUUUUGUGGGUGGUGGUGCAUGGCCGUUCUUAGUUGGUGGAGUGAUUUGUCUGCUUAAUUGCGAUAACGAACGAGACCUUCUUCUACUAAAUAGCCCGGCUAGCUUUGGCUGGUCGCCGGCUUCUUAGAGAGACUAUCGGCUCAAGCCGAUGGAAGUUGGAGGCAAUAACAGGUCUGUGAUGCCCUUAGAUGUUCUGGGCCGCACGCGCGCUACACUGACAGAGCCAACGAGUUCAUCACCUUGGCCGGAAGGUCUGGGUAAUCUUGUUAAACUCUGUCGUGCUGGGGAUAGAGCAUUGCAAUUAUUGCUCUUCAACGAGGAAUGCCUAGUAAGCGCACGUCAUCAGCGUGCGUUGACUACGUCCCUGCCCUUUGUACACACCGCCCGUCGCUACUACCGAUUGAAUGGCUUAGUGAGGCCUUCGGACUGGCCCAAGGAGGUCGGCAACGACCACCUA
rnacentral:rRNA from 1 species